GCUUUAAUUAACCGACCCAAAGAGACCCCACUAAUUAACCGACAGGAACAACAAAUCUCUACAUGGGCCGACAAUUUAGGUUGGGGUGACCUCGGAGAAUAAAACAACCUCCGAGUGAUUUAAAUCUAGACUAACCAGUCGAAAGUAUUACAUCACUUAUUGAUCCAAAAACUUGAUCAACGGAACAAGUUACC
rnacentral:rRNA from 1 species